GACGUAGGGCGCGAGCGUUGUCCGGAUUUAUUGGGCGUAAAGAGCUCGUAGGCGGCUUGUCGCGUCGUCCGUGAAAACCUGCGGCUCAACUGCAGGCUGGCGGUCGAUACGGGCAGGCUGGAGUUCGGUAGGGGAGACUGGAAUUCCUGGUGUAGCGGUGAAAUGCGUAGAGAUCCGGAGGAACACCAGAGGCGAAAGCGGCAUCCUGGCUCAUAGUUGACGCUCAGACACGAGAGCAUGGGGAGCGAACGGG
rnacentral:rRNA from 1 species